rnacentral:rRNA from 1 species
ACUCCUACGGGAGGCAGCAGUGAGGAAUAUUGGACAAUGGGCGCAAGCCUGAUCCAGCCAUGCCGCGUGCAGGAAGACUGCCCUAUGGGUUGUAAACUGCUUUUAUACGGGAAGAAACACUCCCUCGUGAGGGAGCUUGACGGUACCGUAAGAAUAAGGAUCGGCUAACUCCGUGCCAGCAGCCGCGGUAAUACGGAGGAUCCAAGCGUUAUCCGGAAUCAUUGGGUUUAAAGGGUCCGUAGGUGGAUAAUUAAGCA